GUAUGCGUACAAGCAGUGGGAGCCCGUAAGGGUGACUGCGUACCUUUGUAUAUGGGUCAGCGACUUACAUUUUGUGGCGAGCUUACCGUAUAGGGGAGGCGAAGGGAAACCGAGUCUGAAUAGGGCGAAUAGUCGCAAGGUGUAGACCCGAAACCGAGUGAUCUAUCCAUGACCAGGUUGAAGGUCGGGUAACACCGACUGGAGGACCGAACCCACUCCCGUUGAAAAGGUAGGGGGAUGAGUUGUGGAUAGGAGUGAAAGGCUAAUCAAACUCGGAGAUAGCUGGUUCUCCUCGAAAGCUAUUUAGGUAGCGCCUCGUGUAUCACUGUUGGGGGUAGAGCACUGUUAUGGCUAGGGGGUCAUCGCGACUUACCAAACCAUGGCAAACUCCGAAUACCAACACGUGUCGAGCACGGGAGACAC
rnacentral:rRNA from 1 species